rnacentral:misc_RNA from 1 species
UUUCCGUAGGUGAACCUGCGGAAGGAUCAUUAUAAAUGAAAAACGAAUAACUUCAGGGAAGAAGGGAACCUGCACGGUGACCUCCCCUGUCGGGCCACCCAAUACCUUCAAAAUGCCGCCGUCCUAGCGGUGGCAGACGAAAAAAAAACAAGAAAAACAAAAUAGAAACAGGCACGGUGGCCCGUUCACCUUCACACAACCCUCCGAGUACCGCUUCCAUGUUGCUUCCCCGCAAAUCCACCUCUUUGGUGAGCGCGGGGGAGGUCCGCAUCAAAUUCACCUGAAUGUCACAGCAGUCAGACAGCCAUUCAUGGAAACAAUAAAACUUUCAACAACGGAUCUCUUGGUUCCC